AUUGAACGCUGGCGGCAGGCUUAACACAUGCAAGUCGAACGAGCGGCGGACGGGUGAGUAAUGUAUGGGGAUCUGCCUGAUGGCGGGGGAUAACUACUGGAAACGGUAGCUAAUACCGCAUACAAUCAGAUGAACACAUAUGGGAUUAGCUUGUAGGUGAGGUAACGGCUCACCUAGGCGACGAGCCCUGUCUGGGCUGAGAGGAUGAUCAGCCACACUGGGACUGAGACACGGCCCAGACUCCUACGGGAGGCAGCAGUGGGGAAUAUUGCACAAUGGGCGAAAGCCUGAUGCAGCCAUGCCGCGUGUAUGAAGAAGGCCCUAGGGUUGUAAAGUACUUUCAGUCGGGAGGCGUUACCGACAGAAGAAGCACCGGCUAACUCCGUGCCAGCAGCCGCGGUAAUAC
rnacentral:rRNA from 1 species